AUUCCCUUCCUCCAUUAUUUCUCCAUCCCUUUCCCCUCUCUCCACCCCCCCUCCUCCUCCUCCCCUCACCCUCUCCAAAAGACUGGAUACAGAACACAAGGAAAAGAAAAAAAAAUUAAAAGAACAGAGAAGAAGGAAGAAAGAAAGAACGAACAGCACCUACCGAGCAAGCCAGCCUCCGUUGGUUCUUCUUCUUCGGCUUCCACAUGGGCUGCAGAAUUGUUCCCCUCCGGGUCUGAACAGAUUUACGUACCACCCAAGAACCGCCCCUUGAUUCCCCCUCUCCCCCUUCUUUUUCUGUUCGCGGAUUACUGCCUGCUACUCUACUAGACCCAAGAACUGCUCUGUUUUUCCGUGUUUCUCUGGCUGGGAAUUCCUCCGGUUCUUCCUCGUUUUGCUCGCGGGGGCCGAGGAGCGCAGGAGGCAUGGGAAAGGAGGGCCCUUGCCGUCAUUGCGGCGUCACAAGCACUCCACUUUGGCGAAAUGGGCCACUAAAUAAGCCAGUGCUGUGCAAUGCAUGUGGCUCGAGAUGGAGAACAAAGGGUUCCUUGGAGAAUUACACACCAAUGCAUUCUCGUGACGAUAUUGAUGCUGAGCAACCUAGAGUUAGCAAGCUGAAGCCGCCGACAUUGAGGCUGAAGGAACAGAGGCAAGUAAAGAAAAAGCCAAGCCACAGCAUAAGGGAGAAUGGAGCAUUUUCUGAUCAAAACUUCUGGAAGAUGGGGGAUGCGGACCCAAGUCGAUCUAGUUCAGGAUCAGCACUAUCAUAUUCAGAGAGUUGUGCCCCAUAUGGUUCUGCUGAUGUUAGCGAAAUGACUGGUUCAGCGCAAUCGCAUGCUUGGGAGUCAUUGGUACCAUCAAAAAAGAGAAGCUAUGUCACUCGGACCAAGUCUUCAUCCGUGGAUAUGCUUGUCAAGGAUCUUCAUUGUAUAAUGCAUGAAGAGCAGUUAUCUUACCUUUCUGGAUCCUCGGAGGAAGAUCUAAUUUACCACAAUGCAACCCCUGUGGGUUCCUUUGAGAUUGGCUAUGGAAGUAUGCUUCUGAGAAGUUCAAACUCAAAAUCAGCGGAGGAAGAUUCAGAAGCAAACUCUGUUCCUGCAGAUAAUAAAUCAUACCUUACAAGUGAAUCCUAUUCAGGGACUGCCUCGUUUGUUGUGCAUAGUGAAAGCAAGGGAGCAAGUAAUUCAAAUGCUGCACCUGAGAAGCCAAAGUGGUUUCCGGUGCAGACACAUGAAAAUGUUAAAAGGGGUAAACUUCAUUACUCAAAGCAGCAUACCCUGGAAAAUGUAGGCUCAGCUUUAGUUUCAGUAGCUUUAGAGGGAGAAGACACUAAGGAAACAGGAGGAAAUGAAAAUACCAGUGCUUUGAAAGACCUUACCAAAUCCAACAUGAAGCCUCUCAAAAGGCCUCACGAAAGCCAGUUGCAAAGCUGCCCAGAAGGAACCAUGAGGAUUGCCAAAAAAGUUUGCAAAUCUGUGACUAUGGCUCCUCAGUUCAAAGGUUCAUUUUUGCCCAAAUCUGGAGGAGCGCCAUUUAACUUACUCAUGUUACCCCCAGAUAAAAUAUCCAUGCUGGCCCCUCCACAGUACAUGGAUAAUUCUGAUCAAGACUUGCUGCUGGAGGUUCCUCUCAAUGCACGGCAGCCAGAGGCAGAGCUUCUUUACCAACCAUUUCAACUUAGCUCAGUAGCCCGAAGCUCCACCUCCGCAGACGUGGUUGCUGAUGGCGAGGGCCGCCUCAAGCAACCCAUGUGGGCUUUUGGAGAAAGUAUAACUCAUAUCACCAUGGAAAAUAGAAGAACUCUUUUAUUGGGGAAAUGUAAAAUGAAAAUGAUAUCAGGGAUUUCAACCAUUUGCUUAUCUUGGCUCACUUAUUUUCCCAGUUGAGCAUGUUGGUGUCUCCAUAACACGCCCCUCUUGGGAAUGGCAGGUCAUCUUGAUCCCAGAGGUUAUCCUGUACCGGCAAGGGUUAAUGUUCCAGUCUAUCAUGAAUUGGAAGCUAAACUGGAAGGUUUAUGAUUGGAUGACUGAUCGAAGGGAUAGAUUUUCGCUAUCAUCUAGCGAUAUGGCAAUCCAGUUGGAUCUGAUUGCAAAAGUGCGUGGUGUUCCAGAUGCUGAAGAAUACUUUGAAAAACUUCCUGACCCACUGAAAGACAAGCGAACAUAUGGGUCUCUUCUCAAUGUUUAUGCCCAAGCUAGGAUGAAAGAGAAAACAGAAUACACAUUUGAGCAAAUGAGGAAAAAGGGGUUUGCAACUGACACAUUACCUUUUAAUGUGUUGAUGAAUUUUUACGUGGAUGUUGCUGAGCCUGAGAAAGUGUCUACAGUUACUGAUGAGAUGAAGCAAAGAAAUAUCUCUUUUGAUGUCUGCACUUACAACAUUUGGAUAAAGUGUUGUGCAGCCAUGAAAGAUGCUGAUGCAAUGGAACGAGUCUUGAACCAGAUGACUGCUGACGAGUCCGUCGUUGCCAACUGGACUACUUAUACCACACUUGCUAGCAUGCAUAUCAAGCUGGAGAACUUUGAGAAGGCAGAAGAAUGCCUGAAAGAAGCUGAGAAGCGAGCAACGGGUAGGGAUAAGAAAUGUUUCCAUUUUCUCAUCACACUCUAUAGCCAUCUUCAGAAGAAGGAAGAAGUCUACCGCAUUUGGAAUUGGUACAAAGCAACUUUCAAGACAAUUCAUAAUCUGGGUUACCAGGAGGUAUUGUCUGCCCUUGUUAGGCUAGGGGAUAUAGAGGGAGCUGAACUUCUAUACGAAGAAUGGGCAUCCAAAAGUUCUAGUUUCGAUCCUAAGACCAUGAACAUUUUAUUAGCAUGGUAUUCUAGAGAAGGCUUUGUCGUGAAGGCUCAGCAAACUCUGAACAGAUUUGUUGAGAAAGGUGGGAACCCCAAACCAAACACCUGGGAAAUCCUUGCCACGGCGUACCUGAAGGAUAACCAAUUAUCAGAAGCUCUGUCAUGUUUGGAGAAAGCCACAGCAGUUAAAAGUGCAAGUAAAUGGAGACCAAGACCAACCAAUGUUGAGACUCUCCUGGCAUAUUUCAAGGAGAAGAAUGACACGGAGAGUGUCGACAGGUUAAUGAGUGUACUCAGAAGUAGAGGGUGUGCUGAGAACGAAGAGUACAAGUCCUUGAUUGACACCUAUGCUUUGGCGGUUGCAGGCACGUGAUGGUGGAUGGACACCAAUGAUAUGAUUAGUGAAUAGCUCUUGAACACUUCAAUUACUUGCUUGUAAUCUGAAUGUUGGAAGAACCCCCGCUUGAGAGUUCAUGUGGUAUGGCUCUGUACUUCUUUUUAUUCCACAGCGUUUAGGUGCAUUUUCUCAGUUGUUUCCCUACACAAAAUCGGACAAUAAGGUACAUAGAUGAUAGGUCUGCCUGCCUUCUGUCUGACCACUUAGCUCAGUUAGAAAUUCUCAGAUCAUCAAGAGGAGGCCGUUUACCUGGUUCCUUUGUACUUUCUACGUGUAUACUGACAUUACCAUUGCGGAAUUAAAUCGUGCCUUCUCCAUGUAA